GAUGGGACCCAAAGCUAGAUCUGAUGGAGCCCAAGUCCUCUCCUUACGGAUGGUUGUGAGCCACCAUGUGGUUGCUGGGAUUUGAACUCAGGGCCUUUGGAAGAUCAGUCAGUGCUCUUAACUGCUAAGCCAUCUCUCCAGUCCCCUUUUUAAGUUUUGAGGCAGGAUCUCACUUUGGCUGACAUUAGACUCCUGAUUCUCCUGCCUCAGCGUCCCUAGCGCAGAGGUGACAGGUGUACACUGUCAUGCCUGCCUCCUUUGAUCGAUUAACGAAUCAAUCACAUUUCACUCUGUAUCUUGGCUAGUUUCAAACUCAAGGUGAUUCCCCUGCCUCAGUUUCCCAAGUUCUGGAGAUCGUAGAGGGUACCCUCACACCAGCUUUGUCUUCCCCCAGGUCUGGGGUGACAAGCUGAUUCCUGGGAGGCUUAGGUGGGUGUCAAGGACAGGCUGACUCUGGCUUGUUUCCACACAGUCCCUCUGAGUGAGCCACAGAGUGGUGACAUCCUGGGAUAAUUACUGCCACCACAAGUCUAGACAGACCUGCUAAGGGCACCAGCAAACAAAGAGCGCUUUGUGCUGGGGUCAGGGGUCAAUCGGUCAGACGCAGCUGUGCUGCUCUUGCACAGGGGUCUUUUCAGGUAGAUGACCCGGGACGGUGCCCCUGCCUGGUGCUUUCCAGGGUGCUGGGUACUGAGCCAGGAUUCCGGAAGUGGGAUUUGGAGCUCACAGCCCUCUUCUCCCAGGACAGCUGGAACCAGGUGUCCAGGGACAAAAGGCAGAACCUGGUGACGGUGACAUUCCUUGUGUGUCUGUUACCAGUCCCCACUACACUGGCUUUCUCAGCUAGAGUCCCCCAAAAAGCACAGUGUCAGCACUGCAGUUUUUGUCCUCUGGAAGCCCCUGGCCUUCACAGGGACAUUACACACCAGCUCGCACCUCAGGUUUCCUAGGUGAAGGCCUGUGUUCAACACCACUUCCCUGUCCUGUGUGAGUCCUGCUGAGGGGCGAGUGAGUGCUGAGCCCACAGCCAGGCUUCACUAUGGAUUGGGGGCGGGGGGCUUGACUUUUGUCUAUUUUUUGAGACAGGGUUUCUUUGUAUAGCCCUAGGUAUUCUGGAACUCACUAUGUAAACCAGGUUGGCCUUGAAGUCAGAGAUCCUCUUGCCCCUGUGUCUGAAGUGCUGGGUUUACAGCUGUGUGCCACCAUGCCUGGCAUUCUGUUUCUUUUUUUGAGACAGCGUCUCAAGUAGCCCAGGUUAGUCUCAAACUCACUAUUAGCACUAGAAGUCCUGAGUCUUCUGCUUUGGGCUUACAAGAAGUGCAGAGGCAAUGAGCUCACAGGCGUAUACCUUCCUCAGUAUCCUGAGGUGAUGAGCUCACAGGUGUAUACCUUCCUCAGUAUCCUGAGGUGAUGAGCUCACAGGUGUAUACCUUCCUCAGUAUCCUGAGGUGAUGAGCUCACAGGUGUAUACCCUCAUCAGUAUCCUGAGGUGAUGAGCUCACAGGUGUAUACCUUCCUCAGUAUCCUGAGGUGAUGAGCUCACAGGUGUAUACCUUCCUCAGUAUCCUGAGGUGAUGAGCUCACAGGUGUAUACCUUCCUCAGUAUCCUGAGGUGAUGAGCUGACAGGUCUAUACCUUCCUCAGUAUCCUGAGGUGAUGAGCUCACAGGUGUAUACCCUCAUCAGUAUCCUGAGGUGAUGAGCUCACAGGUGUAUACCUUCCUCAGUAUCCUGAGGUGAUGAGCUCACAGGUGUAUACCUUCCUCAGUAUCCUGAGGUGAUGAGCUCACAGGUGUAUACCUUCCUCAGUAUCCUGAGGUGAUGAGCUCACAGGUGUAUACCUGUCAUUGAUAUCCUGUCACGUGUCUGCCCUUCCAUCUUUCUUUGGGCACUUUUAGUGAGGCCACCAUUGGGAACAGUGUGGGACCUGUGGGAACAGCAUGAGGAGUCUCUGGAGGCCCAGGCAGCCAUUUGUAGCAGCAUUAACAGACUCCUGAGGGAGCCACUGCCAUAGAGUUUGUUCUUAGGGAGCUCCUCAAAGAUAAGGUAGCGAGACAGCAGGUGUGGUGGCCCACAGCUGCCACCCCAACCCUGGGGAGGCAGAGGCGGGAGUGCUCGGAGGCCCACACUAGCAUGGGCAUAGUUAACCCUGGCUAGAAACGGGAGCAACUGUUCCCUAAUAGAAUAUUUAACCUUUGUUUUUCUUUUGGAGACAGUGUCACUCUGUAGCCCAGGCUGCCCCACACUCUGUUCCCCUAUCUCAGACUCCAGUGCAGGUAUGACAAGUGUGUGCUGGCUCAGUCAGCUUCAAACCCUGAAACACCGUGGUCCCUAGUGCUAGUGACGGCUGCUCACCUAGGGUGACUUAUGUGUGAGCCCAUGGGUGGGCUAGCCCUGGCCUGCCCUGAGUGCACCCCUUGAAAGGUUGGGAUGUUGGUAAGUGGCCUUGGUGCCUGGACCCUGGCUUCAUUUCCUGCUUUUGUGAACUACAGAUUUACACCUUGAUUCGAAUAACACAUGUGGGAGCUCCGGGACAUCACCAGGGCUCCUGGGUAAACACUGAAAAGGGAUAUGGGGCGAAAGGCUAUGGAGUGAUUCACUUAUUUUAGUUUUUAUUUGUUUGUUUUAUUUUUGGUGCUUUUUGGGAUAGUCCCUCUACAUAGUCCUAGCUAUACUGCAACUUGCCCUGCAGAUCGGGCUAGCCUCACAUUCACAGAGGCCCUCUUGCCUCUGCCUCGCACGUGCUGGAAUUAAAUGUGUGUGUUGCCACAUCUGGCCUCUGCUUUUUAAGAUUGAUUUAUUUAUUUUAUGUGAAUAUACUGUUGCUGCCUUCAGACACACCAGAAGAGGGCAUUGGAUCCCAUUACAGAUGGUUGUGAGCCACCAUGUGGUUGCUGGGAUUUGAACUCAGGACCUCUGGAAGAGCAGCCAGUGCUCUUAACCGCUGAGCCAUCUCUCCAGCCCCCUUCCCCACCACACAAAGUCCCAUCUAGCCCAGGCUGGCCUCCAAAGCACUUACUACAUAGCCCAGGCUGACCUUGAACUUCUGAUCCUCCUGCCAGCAUUUCCCAUAAGGUAUGGGUGACAGAAUGUGAUAUUUAAAUUAGAUUUAUUUAAAUUAUGCGCAUGUAAAUGCCUGUCGUGGGAGCCACAGGUGUGCAAAUGCCUCGUGAGGCCUGGGACAUCGCAGAGGUGGAAUUACAGGUGACUGGAGCUAGGAGCCGAACUCAGGUCCUCUGGAAGAGCGGCGAGGGCUCUCGCCUCUCGCCAGCCCUGUUUUGUUUUUUGAGAUAGGGCCCCACAGCAGCCCAGGUUUUCCUGGGACUCGCAGCAAUCCCAUGCCUCAAAGUCUUGAAUGAUCUGCACCAUCAGCUCUGCUGGGGAAGGUUUAGUUUGUUUUCCUGUUUAUCAGUGAAGUUCCAAAGGUCACUGACUACAGUUGCCAUGGCAACUGCUCGCCCUUUGUCCUUUCCCCACUCACCCAGUAGGUGGCGCACUUACCCUGCCCCAGCUCCAGCGCAAAUCCAAAGAAACUAGGCCUUUGGGGUUUGUUUGUUUGUUUGUUUGUUUUGGCUUUUUUGAGACAGGGUUUCUCUGUGUAGCCCUGGCUGUCCUGGAACUCACUCUGUAGACCAGGCUGGCCUCGAACUCAGAAAUCCGCCUGCCUCUGCCUGCCAGAGUGCUGGGAUUACAGGCGUGUGUCACCACCGCCCGGCUCCUUUGGGUUUUGUAAUUCCUUCAGGUUUUGUUUUUUUUUUUGUUUGUUUGUUUGUUUGGGUUGUGGGGUGUAUGUUUGUGCCUGCCUAGUGUUUGGGAUGAUAGGCUGUGCUGCUGCCACACCAGUCUGUGUGGUGCUGGGAAGGAGCCCAGGUUUUGCCCACAUCCUGGGCAAAUUCCCCCAACUGAGCUACAGCUCCGCUGACCAGUGAGCUUCAGCCCUAAACCUUUUUUGCUAUUUUGUUUCUUGUUUCUGUGAGACAGAGUCUCACUGUAUAGCCCAGGCUAACCUGGAAUUCAUUGUGUAGAAGAGGAGGCUGGCUUUAAUGUAGCAGCAAUUCUCCUGCCUCAGCCUCUCCAGUGUUAAGACCAUUCUCAGUACCAUGACAGCGAUACCUGCCUUAACCUUCUUUUUUAUGCUGUGGUCUUUGUCAUAGCUGCAGAAAUGGGUGAAUACCCAUUCUUCCUCAGGCAGCCACUGUGCGUCCUGGUCCCUGGAGGCUCUGGGCCCCUGUGGCAAGGUAUUUCCUGGCUAGUCCUGCAGUGGUCGCCAGAAAAAGCUGCGGAUGGACUGGGGUGCUCGGUGGGCUUGUGAGGUCAAGACUGUUUUUUCAGGAGGCACAGAGUCUCAUGUGGCCGAGGCUGCCUUCAGUUUUUCUGUGUAGCUGAGGAUGACCUCAAACUCCUGCUCCUGCCUCCAUCUUUCAAGGGCUGUGUGACCCCUGUGUGCCACACCCACCUGAACUGCCUGGUGUUCAUCGCAGCCCUUCGUCCUCACCCCUGCCUUUUC